GUGAAGAACGUAGCGAAAUGCGAUAAGUAAUGUGAAUUGCAGAAUUCAGUGAAUCAUCGAGUCUUUGAACGCACAUUGCGCCCCCUGGUAUUCCGGGGGGCAUGCCUGUCCGAGCGUCAUUGCUGCCCUCAAGCACGGCUUGUGUGUUGGGCCGUCGUCCCCCUCCUAGGGGACGGGCCCGAAAGGCAGCGGCGGCACCGCGUCCGGUCCUCGAGCGUAUGGGGCUUCGUCACCCGCUCCGUAGGCCCGGCCGGCGCUUGCCGACGACCAUCAAUCUCUUUCUCCAGGUUGACCUCGGAUCAGGUAGGGAUACCCGCUGAACUUAAGCAUAUCAAUAAGCGGAGGA
rnacentral:misc_RNA from 1 species